rnacentral:rRNA from 1 species
GAUGAAUGCUGGCGGCGUGCCUAAUACAUGCAAGUCGAGCGGUAACAGGAGUAGUUUACUACUUGCUGACGAGCGGCGGACGGCUGAGUGACGCGUGGGAACAUGCCCUAAAGUGAGGGAUAACUGCCCGAAAGGGUGGCUAAUACCGCAUAUGAUCUACGGAUUAAAGAAUUUAUUCGCUUUAGGAGUGGCCUGCGUCGGAUUAGAUAGUUGGUAAGGUAAUGGCUUACCAAGUCGACGAUCCGUAGCUGGUUUGAGAGGAUGAUCAGCCAGACUGGAACUGAAACACGGUCCAGACUCCUACGGGAGGCAGCAGUGAGGAAUAUUCCACAAUGGGCGAAAGCCUGAUGGAGCAACGCCGCGUGCAGGAUGAAGGCCUUCGGGUCGUAAACUGCUUUUAUAGGUGAAGAUUAUGACUGUAGCCUAUGAAUAAGCACCGGCUAACUACGUGCCAGCCGCCGCCGUAA